GGAGUUGUGGCUUAGAGGUAAAGCACUCGCCUAGCACAUAUAAGGCCCUGGGUUCAAUCCUCAGCACCACCU
rfam:Ictidomys tridecemlineatus contig041048, whole genome shotgun sequence.